rnacentral:rRNA from 1 species
CCCGGUAGUUUUGAGCCCUUUUCCCCGGCAAAGCCGGAAACCUUUUAAACCCAACCAAUUUAGUUUAAUGUGGGAAAAUGGCCAAACCUUUUGUCGGCAAACCCUGAGCUUUGGACAAUUGCGGUUUUUUUCCAACGUUGGGGAACGAUUCAGACCCUUGGGACUUAAUCUUUUUUGGGAUUCCCUUGGCCAGCAUCCGGAUGGAUUUAUGCCUUGAGGNCCAUUAGUUUCCCCUUUGACCAGCCUCUGGAUGUAUUUAUGGCCAAGUGGCUCUGGAUUGGAUUUUUGGCCAAGUGGCAUCCGGGAUUGUGAUUUGAGUGAUUUGAUUUGGUGGUUUUGGGUCUGUUAAUUGGGGCGACGACCCUAUUUACUGGAACCAAUGGUGUACAAGUUCAGAAUAUGAAACUUUGUUAAAGGACUUGUAAGUGCAAAGAUACAAUUCAAGGUUUAAUGGCAGCUGUUUUGUUCAUUAUGUAAGCAGUGUUUUAGUGACCUUAUAAUUAAUUUAACAGAUAAAAGCUACUCAAAGGAUAACAGGCUUAAUAUGUUAGAUAGCUCACAUUAAAUAAAUGGUUUGGCACCUCGAUGUCGGCUUAUCUUAUCCAAAAUCUGUAGGCUUUGGUUUAUUGGUAGGAGUGCUCAUCCUAUAAUAAGGUACGUGAGCUGGGUUCAGAACGAUGUAAAUCAGUUUGGUCUAUAUCUUUAACAAUUAUAAAAAUGGGUAUGGAGUAGUUUGUUCAGUACGAAAGGACCAACAGACAAUAGCAGAAGAUGAAUUUUGUGUUGUAGUGGUAUUACUGUUCUAGGUCUAAGUAUUAGAUAAGUGAUUAUCGAUCCUAACGU